GACGAACGCUGGCGGCGUGCUUAACACAUGCAAGUCGAACGGAAAGGCCCUGCUUUUGUGGGGUGCACGAGUGGCGAACGGGUGAGUAACACGUGAGUAACCUGCCCUUGACUUUGGGAUAACUUCAGGAAACUGGGGCUAAUACCGGAUAGGAGCUCCUGCUGCAUGGUGGGGGUUGGAAAGUUUCGGCGGUUGGGGAUGGACUCGCGGCUUAUCAGCUUGUUGGUGGGGUAGUGGCUUACCAAGGCUUUGACGGGUAGCCGGCCUGAGAGGGUGACCGGCCACAUUGGGACUGAGAUACGGCCCAGACUCCCACGGGAGGCAGCAGUGGGGAAUAUUGCACAAUGGGCGGAAGCCUGAUGCAGCAACGCCGCGUGCGGGAUGACGGCCUUCGGGUUGUAAACCGCUUUCGCCUGUGACGAAGCGUGAGUGACGGUAAUGGGUAAAGAAGCACCGGCUACUACGUG
rnacentral:rRNA from 1 species